rnacentral:rRNA from 1 species
ACGUCGUGACCCGUCCGGCCAUGGUCUAAGGGUUAGGGUGGGAGCCUGUGUGAGCUGUUCGCAGUCUCGCGCAGCCCCCCUUUCCCCGACCAUGGAUUGCCCCGGUCGGUAUCGAAUGACGGUGUCGAACCGCUCCGCGAGGGGAGAAAUCCUCUUUCGAGAGCGCGAGGUGGUCCUCGACAAGGUUGCGAGUCGCGUGUCAAGGCGGGCUUCCGCCCGUCUGGCUGCUCCCGCUCCUGUUGGUCGGGUGUGCCCUUACGCAGGUUCAUACAAAUGGCACUAGUCUACGGCGAAUCAGUUUUGGGCUCUUGUCCGACCCGUCUUGAAACACGGACCAAGGAGUUUAGCGUGUGCGCGAGUCAUUGGGUGUCAAAACCUAAAGGCGUAAUGAAAGUGAAGGAAACUUUGUUUUUGAGGGAGGAUGGGUUAGGUACCUUUUUUAAAGGACCGGCCUCGCACUCCCGGGGCGUCUCUAUCUCAUUGCGAGAGGAGGCGCACCUAGAGCGUACACGCUGAUACCCGAA